rnacentral:tRNA from 1 species
GCCCGGGUGGCGAAAUUGGUAGACGCAGGGGACUCAAAAUCCCCCGCCGCAAGGCGUGCCGGUUCGAGUCCGGCCCCGGGCA